CAGCCGCCACGGUAAUACGAGGGGGGCAAGCGUUGUUCGGAAUUAUUGGGCGUAAAGGGUGCGUAGGCGGCUUGACAAGUCUUGUGUGAAAUCUAUGGGCUCAACCCAUAGUCUGCACGGGAAACUGUCGGGCUUGAGAAUGGGAGAGGUGAGUGGAAUUUCCGGUGUAGCGGUGAAAUGCGUAGAUAUCGGAAGGAACACCUGUGGCGAAAGCGGCUCACUGGGCCAUUUCUGACGCUGAUGCACGAAAGCUAGGGGAGCAAACAGGAUUAGAUACCCCCGUAGUCCCUGUCUCUUAUAA
rnacentral:rRNA from 1 species